rnacentral:misc_RNA from 1 species
CAUUACAGAGAAUUGAAAUAAUUCGGAGAGCGGGGAUAUAUUACGUGGGGGGGAAGAGUGGGGUGAAUGAACCUGCCUGCGCUUAGUUGCGCGGCUCUCUUUCCUCCUCCUGCCCCGCCUUUGAUUUAUACACACAGUGGAGUUUCUGCUUUUCUUUAUUUUGAUGGCUUUGGGGGGUGUGUGAGCCCCCCAGAGGUAAACAACACAAACAAGUUUUUUUUUUUAUUCUAUAUAUGCACUAGUCAAGAAACAAGAAUUCGGAGAAAAAACGAAUUAACGAAUAUUC